rnacentral:sRNA from 1 species
GAUCCGGCCCCGGCUUGAACUAGCUCAGCUCCGAGCUCGCGGAACCACGCCCCCGGGAGACUCUGGCCCGGCCAGCGCGGGCCAGGUCUUCAGUCCUACAUCGCCCCGCCUUGGGAAAAGGUGCAGGGGCCUCUCGCCGCCUCGUCGGGACCUUCCUCUCUACCUGCCUCUCCAACCCCUCUCGGCCCCGAGCCACCCGGCAGCGGGAGUGGGUGUGCAGAGGUGCGGCGUCCAGAACCCGGUUCCUGCAGAGGCUCUGGGUGGCAGCAGCCCUGUUACGGCUUAGAUGGCGCGCAGGACAGAGCCCCCCGACGGGGGCUGGGGAUGGGUGGUGGUGCUCUCAGCGUUCUUCCAGUCGGCGCUUGUGUUUGGGGUGCUCCGCUCCUUUGGGGUCUUCUUCGUGGAGUUUGUGGCGGCGUUUGAGGAGCAGGCAGCGCGCGUCUCCUGGAUCGCCUCCAUAGGAAUCGCGGUGCAGCAGUUUGGGAGUGAGUGCGGCGCCUGGAUCUUGCGGCGGCGACUGGGAAGUGGAAGGGCGAGGGGCGGGAGAUGCUGGGGGGGAGACCCCUGAGAUCUUCUCGCAGCGCCCCUUCCACUUCCUCAGGCCCGGUAGGCAGUGCCCUGAGCACGAAGUUCGGGCCCAGGCCCGUGGUGAUGACUGGAGGCAUCUUGGCUGCGCUGGGGAUGCUGCUCGCCUCUUUUGCUACUUCCUUGACCCACCUAUACCUGAGUAUUGGGUUGCUGUCAGGUGAGAGCCUGCACAAGGGCAGGAGAGUCAAAUGCUUAGAUCGUUGGAUGUUCACCUCCUUCCUGCUCCUUCCAAAGGGUUCGGGGAGAAGCUGAGGGAAAGUUUAGCUAGCACCUGUACCCAGAAGGGAAUUCUUAAUAGGAAUGACUAAAGCGACAAACAUGGUGAGGAAUUAGGAAAUUCAAGGAUGAUGA